UACAGAGGUCCCGAGCGUUGUUCGGAUUCACUGGGCGUAAAGGGUGUGUAGGAGGUAUGAUAAGUCUGGCGUGAAAUCCCACUGCUUAACAGUGGAACUGCGUUGGAUACUGUCGUGCUAGAGGAUUAGAGAGGAGAGCGGAAUUCUUGGUGUAGCGGUGAAAUGCGUAGAUAUCAAGAGGAACACCAGCGGCGAAAGCGGCUCUCUGGAUAAUUCCUGACUCUGAAACACGAAAGCCAGGGUAGCAAACGGG
rnacentral:rRNA from 1 species